CGCACCCUGGGACGACUGAGUGCGUUUCAGGUUGGUUUGAGGCCGGCGAUGAUAGGUGGAUCUGGUAAUUGGUCUGUUCCGAUUCUGAUAGGUGCGCC
rnacentral:tRNA from 1 species